GUCUAUGAUGAUAAAGGGCCCAAGGCCCGAACUUCAAACCCAGCUCGUCGAAACCUCCUGAAUUGAGGCUUCAUGAGAUAAAAACUUGAGUCUGAGCA
rnacentral:snoRNA from 1 species